GGUUAAGCGACUAAGCGUACACGGUGGAUGCCUAGGCAGUCAGAGGCGAUGAAGGACGUGCUAAUCUGCGAAAAGCGCCGGUGAGCUGAUAUGAAGCGCUGUCAGCCGGCGAUGUCCGAAUGGGGAAACCCGGUGCAAUCCGUUGCACCAUCAUUAACUGAAUUCAUAGGUUAAUGAGGCGAACCGGGGGAACUGAAACAUCUCAGUACCCCGAGGAAAAGAAAUCAACCGAGAUUCCCCCAGUAGCGGCGAGCGAACGGGGAGGAGCCCAGAGCCAUCAGCAUGACACGCCUCAGGAGAACGGUCUGGAAAGGCCGGCAGUAAAGGGUGAAAGCCCCGUAUCCGAAGUGGUGUGUUGUGUGAGCUCGAAGAGUAGGGCGGGACACGUGAUAUCCUGUCUGAACAUGGGGGGACCAUCCUCCAAGGCUAAAUACUCCUGACUGACCGAUAGUGAACCAGUACCGUGAGGGAAAGGCGAAAAGAACCCCGGCGAGGGGAGUGAAAGAGAACCUGAAACCGUGUACGUACAAGCAGUGGGAGCCCUGAUUUAUCAGGGUGACUGCGUACCUUUUGUAUAAUGGGUCAGCGACUUAUAUUCUGUAGCAAGGUUAACCGUAUAGGGGAGCCGCAGGGAAACCGAGUCUUAACUGGGCGUUAAGUUGCAGGGUAUAGACCCGAAACCCGGUGAUCUAGCCAUGGGCAGGUUGAAGGUUGGGUAACACUAACUGGAGGACCGAACCGACUAAUGUUGAAAAAUUAGCGGAUGACUUGUGGCUGGGGGUGAAAGGCCAAUCAAACCGGGAGAUAGCUGGUUCUCCCCGAAAGCUAUUUAGGUAGCGCCUCGUGAAGUCAUCUUCGGGGGUAGAGCACUGUUUCGGCUAGGGGGUCAUCCCGACUUACCAACCCGAUGCAAACUGCGAAUACCGAAGAAUGUUAUCACGGGAGACACACGGCGGGUGCUAACGUCCGUCGUGAAGAGGGAAACAACCCAGACCGCCAGCUAAGGUCCCCAAGUCAUGGUUAAGUGGGAAACGAAGUGGGAAGGCUCAGACAGCCAGGAUGUUGGCUUAGAAGCAGCCAUCAUUUAAAGAAAGCGUAAUAGCUCACUGGUCGAGUCGGCCUGCGCGGAAGAUGUAACGGGGCUAAACCAUGCACCGAAGCUGCGGCAGCGACACGAAUGUGUUGCUGGGUAGGGGAGCGUUCUGUAAGCCGUUGAAGGUGAACUGUGAGGUUUGCUGGAGGUAUCAGAAGUGCGAAUGCUGACAUAAGUAACGAUAAAGCGGGUGAAAAACCCGCUCGCCGGAAGACCAAGGGUUCCUGUCCAACGUUAAUCGGGGCAGGGUGAGUCGACCCCUAAGGCGAGGCUGAAAAGCGUAGUCGAUGGGAAACAGGUUAAUAUUCCUGUACGGGCAAUAAUUGCGACGGGGGGGACGGAGAAGGCUAGGCAAUCCGGGCGACGGUCGUCCCGGUUUAAGUGUGUAGGUGGGAUAAUCAGGCAAAUCCGGUUAUCCACAGCACUGAGGCACGAUGACGAGGCACUACGGUGCUGAAGUUGCUGAUGCCCCGCUUCCAGGAAAAGCCCCUAAGCUUCAGAUUAGUGCUCAUCGUACCCCAAACCGACACAGGUGGUCAGGUAGAGAAUACUCAGGCGCUUGAGAGAACUCGGGUGAAGGAACUAGGCAAAAUGGUGCCGUAACUUCGGGAGAAGGCACGCUGGCGUUAGGUGAAGGACCGAGCGUCCGGAGCUGAGGCCAGUCGCAGAUACCAGCUGGCUGCAACUGUUUAAUAAAAACACAGCACUGUGCAAACACGAAAGUGGACGUAUACGGUGUGACGCCUGCCCGGUGCUGGAAGGUUAAUUGAUGGGGUUAUCGCCUGGCGAGAAGCUCCUGAUCGAAGCCCCAGUAAACGGCGGCCGUAACUAUAACGGUCCUAAGGUAGCGAAAUUCCUUGUCGGGUAAGUUCCGACCUGCACGAAUGGCGUAAUGAUGGCCAGGCUGUCUCCACCCGAGACUCAGUGAAAUUGAACUCGCUGUGAAGAUGCAGUGUACCCGCGGCAAGACGGAAAGACCCCGUGAACCUUUACUAUAGCUUGACACUGAACCUUGAGCCUUGAUGUGUAGGAUAGGUGGGAGGCUGUGAAGUGCAGACGCCAGUCUGCACGGAGCCAUCCUUGAAAUACCACCCUUGAAUGUUUGAUGUUCUAACGCCGGCCCGUUAUCCGGGUUGCGGACAGUGUCUGGUGGGUAGUUUGACUGGGGCGGUCUCCUCCCAAAGCGUAACGGAGGAGCACGAAGGUUGGCUAAUCCUGGUCGGACAUCAGGAGGUUAGUGCAAUGGCAUAAGCCAGCUUGACUGCGAGAGUGACAGCUCGAGCAGGUGCGAAAGCAGGUCAUAGUGAUCCGGUGGUUCUGAAUGGAAGGGCCAUCGCUCAACGGAUAAAAGGUACUCCGGGGAUAACAGGCUGAUACCGCCCAAGAGUUCAUAUCGACGGCGGUGUUUGGCACCUCGAUGUCGGCUCAUCACAUCCUGGGGCUGAAGUAGGUCCCAAGGGUAUGGCUGUUCGCCAUUUAAAGUGGUACGCGAGCUGGGUUUAGAACGUCGUGAGACAGUUCGGUCCCUAUCUGCCGUGGGCGCUGGAAGAUUGCAAGGGGCUGCUCCUAGUACGAGAGGACCGGAGUGGACGCACCACUGGUGUUCGGGUUGUCAUGCCAAUGGCAUUGCCCGGUAGCUAAGUGCGGAAGAGAUAACCGCUGAAAGCAUCUAAGCGGGAAACUUGCCUUAAGAUGAGUCUUCCCUUACUCCUUUGAGGGUACUGAAGGACCGUCCGAGACGAGGACGUGGAUAGGCCGGGUGUGUAAGCGUUGCGAGACGUUGAGCUAACCGGUACUAAUGAGCCGUGCGGCUUAACCUG
rnacentral:rRNA from 1 species